UUCGCAAUGCCCGAAAGGGUGACGAAGCGACGCCGCGUGGGUGAGGAAGGCCUUCGGGUUGUAAAGCCCUGUCAGGAGUUAAGAAAUGUAAGUGUGCUAAUACCGCAUUUGCUUGACGAAGGCUCCAAAGGAAGCCACGGCUAACUCUGUGCCAGCAGCCGCGGUAAUACAGAGGUGGCAAGCGUUGUUCGGAAUUAUUGGGCGUAAAGAGCACGUAGGUGGGUUUGUAAGUCAGAUGUGAAAGCCUUCUGUUCAACGGAAGAAUUGCAUCUGAAACUGCGAGUCUUGAGUGUAGGAGGGGAGAAUGGAACUUCUGGUGGAGCGGUGAAAUGCGUAGAUAUCAGAAGGAACGCCGGCGGCGAAAGCGAUUCUCUGGCCUAUUACUGACACUCAGUGUGCGAAAGCUAGGGGAGCAAACGGGAUUAGAUACCCCGGUAGUCCUAGCCGUAAACGAUGGGCACUAAGUAGAGGGGUUUUAAUC
rnacentral:rRNA from 1 species